AGGUGCUAUUGUACCAACACUAAUGCACCGGAUCCCAUCAGAGCUCCGAAGUUAAACGUGCUUGGGCAGGAGUAAUACUAGAAUGGGUGACCUCCUGGGAAGUCCUCGUGUUGCACCCC